AUGAAGGCUGCAAGAGAGACUCCUGUCAAUGCGAGGACGGAGCGCCGAAGGUGCAACCUUCUCCCAAAGGGGGAAGGGAAACUCUCAGGCGGAAGGAUUGCAGCUGGACG
rfam:Synergistales bacterium 53_16 MPI_scaffold_211, whole genome shotgun sequence.